UUCAGAGAUUGCCUCUGUCGUUACCCACAUUAGUGGAUACGGGAAUGCAGUUGUUGA
ncrna:unclassified sequences Transposase-1 RNA